UACGGAGGGGGCUAGCGUUGUUCGGAAUUACUGGGCGUAAAGCGCGCGUAGGCGGAUUGUUAAGUCAGGGGUGAAAUCCUGGAGCUCAACUCCAGAACUGCCUUUGAUACUGGCGAUCUCGAGUCCGGGAGAGGUGAGUGGAACUGCGAGUGUAGAGGUGAAAUUCGUAGAUAUUCGCAAGAACACCAGUGGCGAAGGCGGCUCACUGGCCCGGUACUGACGCUGAGGUGCGAAAGCGUGGGGAGCAAACAGG
rnacentral:rRNA from 1 species